rnacentral:sRNA from 1 species
ACAGGGUAUUGUGGUGUACACCUGUAGUCCCAGAUACUUUGGAGGCUAAGGUGGUAGGAUCACUUGAACCCAGGAGUUUGAGAUUGGCCUGGGCAACAUAGCAAGUCCCUAUAUUUU